GACGAACGCUGGCGGCGUGCUUAACACAUGCAAGUCGAACGGAAAGGCCCUGCUUUUGUGGGGUGCUCGAGUGGCGAACGGGUGAGUAACACGUGAGUAACCUGCCCUUGACUUUGGGAUAACUUCAGGAAACGGGGGCUAAUACCGGAUAGGAGCUCCUGCUGCAUUGUGGGGGUUGGAAAGUUUCGGCGGUUGGGGAUGGAGGCGCGGCUUAUCAGCUUGUUGGUGGGGGAGUGGCUUACCAAGGCUUGGACGGGUAGCCGGCCUGGGAGGGUGACCGGCUCCAUUGGGACAGGGGACAGACCAGGGGGCAAUAGGGGGGAAGGAGCGGGGAACUUUGCCAAACGGGCGGAAGCCGUGUGGAGCACCGCCGGGUGGGGGAUGACGGCUUUCGGGUUGUAAAACGCUUUCGCCUGUAACGAAGCGUGAGGGAGGGUAAUGGGUAAAGAAGAACCGGCUAAUUACGU
rnacentral:rRNA from 1 species